GAUCUUGGUUCAGGAUGAACGCUGGCGGCGUGCCUAACACAUGCAAGUCGAACGAACCUAUUAUUAACAGAGACUCGGUUGAAGUUGGUUUAGGUUAGUGGCGGACGGGUGAGUAACGCGUGGAGAACCUGCCCUGUACUGGGGGAUAACAGUGAGAAAUCACUGCUAAUACCGCAUAAGCGCACGAAACCGCAUGGUUUUGUGUGAAAAAACUCCGGUGGUACAGGAUGGCUCCGCGUUGGAUUAGCCUGUUGGCGGGGUAACGGCCCACCAAAGCUACGAUCCAUAGCCGGCCUGAGAGGGUGAACGGCCACAUUGGGACUGAGACACGGCCCAGACUCCUACGGGAGGCAGCAGUGGGGAAUAUUGCACAAUGGGGGAAACCCUGAUGCAAGCGACGCCGCGUGAAGGAAGAAGUAUCUCGGUAUGUAAACUUCUAUCAGCAGGGAAGAAAAUGACGGUACCUGACUAAGAAGCCCCGGCUAACUACGUGCCAGCAGCAGC
rnacentral:rRNA from 1 species